rnacentral:rRNA from 1 species
CAAUAGCAUAUAUUAACGUUGUUGCAGUUGAAAAGCUCGUAGUUGAACUUUUGGUAGGAGCGACCUGGCCUUGGGCGCAUGCCCUUGUUUGCCGUGUGUCGUGUCUGGCCAUUCUUUUCCGCUUCGGCGGGAAUCUUUUACUGUGAGUAAACUGGAGUGCUCAAAACAAGACGUUUGUUUGGUACAUUAAAGCAUGGAAUAAUAAGAUAGGACCUGGUUACUAUUUUGUUGGUUUGCAUAGCUAGGUAAUGAUUAACAGGGACAGUUGGGGGUAUUCGUAUUUAAUUGUCAGAGGUGAAAUUCUUGGAUUUAUGAAAGACGAACGACUGCGAAAACAUUUACCAAGGAUGUUUUCAUUAA